rnacentral:tRNA from 1 species
GUCCUUGUAGCUUAAACAAAGCAUAGCACUGAAGAUGCUAAGAUGGCCAACACAUGCACCCCCAGGGACA